GACGAACGCUGGCGGCGUGCUUAACACAUGCAAGUCGAACGGAGUGGCGAACGGGUGAGUAACACGUGGGUGACCUGCCCUGCACUUCGGGAUAAGCCUGGGAAAAUGGGUCUAAUAACGGAUAGUUGGGGAUGGGCGCGCGGCCUAUCAGCUUGUUGGUGGGGUAAUGGCCUACCAAGGAGGCGAGGGGUAGCCGUCCUGCGAGGGUGGACGGCCACAUUGGGCAUGUGAGACGGGCCAGGCUCGGACGGGGGGCAGCAGGGGGGAGUAUUGCACAAGGGGCGGAAGCCUGAUGCAGCGACGCCGCGUGGGGGAUGACGGCCUUCGGGUUGGAAACUCCUUUCACCAUCGACGCGGUAGAUGGAGAAGAAGCACCGGCUAACUACGUGCCAGCAGCCGCGGUAAUUC
rnacentral:rRNA from 1 species